CUUACCUCCGUAGAUAGAACUAUAUGUAAUGCUCACCUUCUUAACAAGAUUUUUGGUCCAACUACAGCCACUUAAAAUAUUGAUAUCUAGAUUAAUAGUAGGGAGGAGGAUAAGCUCAUACGAAUAUUCUCAAGUCAUGAAGAUUUCACUUCACAACCUUUCCAGAAGAUAUACAGUGGCAGCAAAUACUGGGCCAUCCUACCAUUCACCAUGGGAAGCUUCCAUUAUUGGGAUUUUGUUUUGAUUAAUCUCUUUGUGUCAACAAUAUUGUUGCAGCCAAGCUCCGAUUUGAUAUCAUCUCCGACAGCAGUUUUGCAAGCCAUCAAUCAAAGAAUGGUUACUAUCAGUAUGAACCAGUAUUGUAGUUUAGAUUAUUUAUAUAAUCACAAUGUAGAAGGUGAGUUAAUUUACUACGAUUCAACAGUGCUGAUUCAACAUUGUGUGAACCAGAAUUUGAAUUUUCAAAAUUCAAUAAUUCCUACUAUAGAUCAGCGUAAUUUGUGGGUCUCCAGCUAUCCUAUAAAUAUUUCCGAGUUGACUGUAAUCGACUUCAAUGCCAGUAUUCGGUAUAUUUUCUCUUUGAAUAUAUCCUUUACUUUUUUACCA